UGUUAAUAAAGCUCAAGAAUUGAAUUUAUUAUAUAAUUUUCUCAUGAAUCUUUUUGGUUUCUAAAUUGAAAUGACAUUUAUCACGUCACAAUAUAAUAGUAUCAUUCCAGUAUUUUAUCAAAUUUUAGUAUUAAAAAUAUGUCUUUCAAGAUGCACGUUAUCCAUGUAACAAGACGAAGCCGUUUAUCAUGCAAAGGGAAGAUAUCGACUCUGGCUAUCGAUAUGCUUUUCUCUAACUGAAAUGUUUUCCGAUAUCGUGUACACAUGCAAGUUGCCAAACACAUCUAUCCGAUAAAGAAUAUCAAUAUUACCGUUGUUUGAAUAAGAGUACGAAAAUUGUAGACUGACGUGUCCAUCUGGAUAAGAUUCAUACAAAAAAGAAAAAAAAACAACGAAUAUGUACUGUACCGUCUUGUUCUACUUUACUCUUCAUUAAUAUUAUUAAAGCA
rnacentral:lncRNA from 1 species